ensembl:lncRNA
CACAAUAGAAGAAUACAUUUCUUAGCAAAGUAUGUAACAGUCAUAAGCAAAUUUUCUCUGUCAGGAUCAAGAACAAAGUCCUGCUGGGCAUUAAGAAGAUAGAUACACAGGGUCAUAUCAAACUGUACCUCUAGUAUUUUCUGUGCAGCAGUAUGUACAGAAUCUGGCAAUCUCUCUACAGCUCCAAAAUACAUGCAUAUAGGUUCCACUUUCAGAGGUACAUCUUUUACAGUUAGGAGACAUAUCUGUUUUCAUUCUAUGGAGUCUCAAAGGGGUAUAAAAAAAAUUGUACAAAAAUGUGUAAUUAGAUUCUUUCAUUUUUACACUGUUAGAGGAGCAGUAUACCCUGUCGCAAACCUCCGCCCAUAACUCAUCACUGAUAGUCAGACCAAGGUCCUUUUCCCAGAUUCUUUUCAAAGGAGUAAAGGAGGAGCUUCCUUUCUCAGAAAGGAGUCUAUAGAUGUAAGAUAUUUUGCCUUUAAUGGAUUGUGCUGUGACAAGAAGGGUUUCAACUUCAUUCAACUGAGUUCUAAACCUCCUCUUGGAGGUAAAUGAGGAAAUUACAUGUCUAAUUUGAAGAUAUUUUUAAAAAAUGGGAUCUUGGCACAUCGAAUUCACUGCAGAGCUCUUGAGAGGAUUUCAGUGUAGUGGUUUUCUGAUGAAAUAGGUCUGAAAAGGUCCUGAUUCCUAGAGUAUGCCAAAGAUUAAAGUUGGCAUCCCUCAGGGCUUUUGGCAAGUCUGGGUUGCCUACUAUAGGCGAGUGAGAACAUAUUUGGGAGGAAAUGCCCAGGUAUUUCUUACAGUCCCUCCACGCUAGUAAGGUGCUGUAAAUCACAAAGGUUUUGGCUAUGUUGCCCACUUCACUAAAGUUAUUAAUGAAUAUAAUUGAGCUUAAGGGCAAUGAACCACAGGAUUGGGCUUCUAUCUGAAUCCACGUUGACUCGUCUGUUUGUGAUCCAUGUUAGCAUGUUGCAGAUUUGGGCAGACCAGUAGUACAAUGAUAUAUAUUUUUUAAUAAGGGCAACAGUCAUAAAAUAACUGAGGAAAAACUAAAUUGCUGUUAAGUAUACCACUUGAAGGUUGAAGAAAAAUCCCAUAAAACAUCAACUCCGUCAGAUUUAUGUCUAAUGUCAACUCUGCCAGGUUGCUGAAAGAUUUGAUAGAACAGUUAUGUUUUUAUUGGGGAAUUUCUAAUGAAUUAUUUUCCAUUAUUUAGAAAAUGUUUGUAUUGAACUUAAAAAUGUCUGUUUUAAGUAUCUGUACUCCAUUAGAGGCAUUUCAACUGUCACUAAUGGGUAACAACCUUAAGAUCGAUACUUUUGUCAAUAUUCUGAAUAAAUAUUAAUAUGCUUAAACUGUUGAAGUAUUUGUAUUGAUAUACCUAAGUGAUACUUUGAAUAAAUGUUUUAUGUUCUGCAUCUAUAGAAACAUGCCCAAAUGCUAACAAAAUUAGCCCUGAAGCAUUAUAUAGUGCAAUAAAUAAAUAAAAAGUUGGGAGAUUUGAAUAACGUAUUUGAAUAAUCUCAUGUUAGAAUGAAACAAGCAAGGCCUUUAAACACUUGUUGGACAAUACAUGUAAAAAAUAAAAUGCCUUUUAUGGUGUCUGACUGAGUUGACAUGAAUUCAGUUUAUUGCAUUUAAAAAUAUAUAUAUUUUUACAAAUGGUUGAUCCUUUACAGUAUUUAAAAAAUAUAUUAUUUGUGAAAAAGUUGAGAUUGUUCUGUCUUUCAAGAAUCUCUGAGCUACAGUUCCUUGCAAAAUUAUUCAGACCCCUUGGAUUUCUUCACCUUUUGUGCUACAAAAUGGGAUUAAAAUGUAUUUAAUUGUCAUUUUUUUGUCAACAAUCUACACAACAUAUUCUGUACUGUCACAGUGGAAGAAAAAGUGUAUAUAUUUUUUUUGAUUAACAAAAUAUAAAUAACUGCUCUCUGAUUAAAUAUAUGUUAGAAACUCCUUUGGCAUUGAUUACAGCCGUAAGUCUUAUUGGGUAAGUCUCUAAGAGCUUAGUACAAACCUUGAUUGUACAAUAAUUACACAUUCUUUUAAAAAUUAUUCUAGCUCUGUCAAGUUGGUUGUUUAUCAUUGCUAAACAUUCCUUUUUAAGUCUUGCCCUAGACUUUCAAGACGAUUUAAGUUAAAACGGUAACUAGGCCACUCAGGAACAUUCAAUGUCGUCUUGGUAAGCAACUCCAAUCUAUAUAUGGCUUUGUGUUUUAGGUUAUUGUCCUACUGAAAGGUGAAUUUGUCUCCCAGUGUCUGUUUUAAAGCAGACUGAAUCAGGGUUUCCUCUAUGAUUUUGCCUGUGCUUAGCCAUAUUCUGUUUCUAAAAAUAAAUAAAAAUCCCUUGCCAGUGACAAGAAUACCCAUAACAUGAUGAGCCCACCACCAUACUUGAAAAUAUGAAGAGUGGUACUCCGUGAUGUUUGGAUUUGCCCAAAACAUAACUCUUCGUAUUCAGGACAAAGUUAAUUUCUUUGCCAAAUGUUUUACAGUUUUACUUUAGUGCCUUAUUGCAAACAGGAUGCAUGUUUUGGAAUAGUUUUGUUCCGUAUAGGCUUCCUUUUCACUCUUUAAUUUAGGUUAGUAUUGUUGAGUAAUAACUACAAUGUUGAUCUAUCCUCAGUUUUCUCCAGUCGCAGCCAUUAAACACUGUUUUAAAGUCUCCAUUUAAAAAGUCUCCACUGUUUUAAAGUCACCAUCGGCCUCAUGGUGAAAUCUCUGAACAGUUUCCUUCCUCUCCGGCAACUGAGUUAGGAAGGACGCCUCUAUCUUUGGAUAAUGUAUCAAUACACCCAGUCACGGCAAAGCGUAAUUAAUAAAACAUUUUUUUUAUCCGUCUACCAAAUCAUUGCCCUCCUUUACGAGGCAUUGGAAAACCUCAC